rnacentral:rRNA from 1 species
GAUGAACGCUGGCGGCGUGCUUAACACAUGCAAGUCGAACGAAGCAAUUGAGCGGAAGUUUUCGGAUGGAAGCUUAAUUGACUUAGUGGCGGACGGGUGAGUAACCCGUGGGUAACCUGCCUUAUACUGGGGGAUAACAGUUGGAAACGACUGCUAAUACCGCAUAAUAAAGAAUAUCGCAUGAUUUUCUUUUGAAAUAUUUAUAGGUAUAAGAUGGACCCGCGUCUGAUUAGCUAGUUGGUGAGGUAACUGCUCACCAAGGCGACGAUCAGUAGCCGGCUUGAGAGAGUGACCGGCCACAUUGGGACUGAGACACGGCCCAAACUCCUACGGGAGGCAGCAGUGGGGAAUAUUGCACAAUGGGGGAAACCCUGAUGCAGCGACGCCGCGUGAGUGAAGAAGUAUUUCGGUAUGUAAAGCUCUAUCAGCAGGGAAGAUAAUGACGGUACCUGACUA